CAUCGAGACCGGCAGAGGGACAGGCCCUUUGAAGCCGGGGCAGCCCGCGGAUGCGAAAGCGUUCGCGUAGGUGCCAAAUCCUGCGGGGACCGUGGCGUCCACCGAAAGAU
rnacentral:ncRNA from 1 species